UACGGGGGGGCAAGCGUUGUUCGGAAUUACUGGGCGUAAAGGGUCGUAGGUGGCCAACUAAGUCAGACGUGAAAUCCCUCAGCUUAACUGGGGAACUGCGUCUGAUACUGGAUGGCUUGAGAUUGGGAGAGGGACGCGGAAUUCCCGGUGUAGCGGUGAAUGCGUAGAUAUCGGGAGGAACACCUGUGGCGAAGCGGCGCACUGGACCAUAACUGACGCUGAGGCGCGAAGCUAGGGAGCAAACAGG
rnacentral:rRNA from 1 species